GAUGAACGCUCGCGGCAGGCCUAAUACAUGCAAGUCGGACGGGAUUCAGGAGCUUGCUUCUGAUGAGAGUGGCGCACGGGUGCGUAACACGUAUGUAACCUACCUUUAUCAGGGGGAUAGCCUCUCUAAAGAGAGAUUAAGCCCGCAUAAAAUCACAGCACAGCAUUGUGUAAUGAUCAAAUAUUUAUAGGAUAAAGAUGGGCAUGCGGAACAUUAGCUAGAUGGCGGGGUAACGGCCCACCAUGGCGACGAUGUUUAGGGGAUCUGAGAGGAUGGCCCCCCACACUGGUACUGAGACACGGACCAGACUCCUACGGGAGGCAGCAGUAAGGAAUAGUGGUCAAUGGGCGGAAGCCUGAACCAGCCAUGCCGCGUGCAGGAAGACGGCCCUACGGGUUGUAAACUGCUUUUAUACGGGAAUAAACCCAGAUACGUGUAUCUGGCUGAAUGUACUGUAAGAAUAAGGAUCGGCUAACUCCGUG
rnacentral:rRNA from 1 species